rnacentral:rRNA from 1 species
GACAGAGGGUGCGAACGUUGUUCGGAAUUACUGGGCGUAAAGCGCAUGUAGGCGGCAGCGCAAGUCGGGCGUGAAAUCCCACGGCUCAACCGUGGAAGUGCACUCGAAACUGCGCAGCUAGAGUCCUGGAGAGGAAGGUGGAAUGCUUGGUGUAGAGGUGAAAUUCGUAGAUAUCAAGCGGAACUCCGGUGGCGAAGGCGGCCUUCUGGACAGUGACUGACGCUGAGAUGCGAAAGCGUGGGGAGCAAACAGG